GACCAAAUAUUAAGGGCUUAUGGUGGAUGCCUUGACAUCAAGAGGCGAUGAAGGGCGUGGCGUGACUGCGAUAAGCUUCGGGGAGGUGUCUAGCAACCUUUGAUCCGGAGAUUUCCGAAUGGGGAAACCCAAUUGAGCAAACCUCAAUUAUCCCGCAGCAAUGCGAGGAGCGAACCCGCUGAAGUGAAACAUCUCAGUAAGCGGAGGAAAAGAAAAUAAUAUCAGCUUUGCUGAUUCAUUCCCUUAGUAGCGGCGAGCGAACGGGGAAGAGCCUAAACCAGUGCGAAGCACUGGAAUUUUGAAGCUUGAAUUUUGAAUUAUGAACGAAUUUUUAAUAAUUUAAUUUUUAAUUAAACAUUAAGAUAUUCUGAUUUGAAUCAAAAUUCGAAAUUAGAAAUUCGAAAUUCCGCUGCUUCGCAGUGGUGUUGCAAGGUAGUAACGUUCCGGAGCAUCUCACACCUUAUGAAUUUUCACGAGGUGUGGGAUUCAUUCCGGAGGGAGUCCACAAAAAUAAAGUUUACCCUGAGUUUAUCGAGGGGCAUUGUUAAUCAAAUCUCGCUGGAAAGCGGAACCAAAGAGGGUAAUAGUCCCGUAGGUGAAAACAGCUUUAUGCUCCUAGUUAUUAUUCUUAAGUACGGCGAGGCACGAAAACCUUGUCGGAAGCCGGCAGGACUACUCUGCCAAGGCUAAAUACUCUUGAUGAUCGAUAGUGAACUAGUACCGUGAGGGAAAGGUGAAAAAUAGCCCGGUAAGGGCGGUGAAAUAGAUCUGAAACCAUAAGCUUACAAAGACUCGGAGUCCUGUCGCUCUCGAGCGACGGGAUGACGGGGUGCUUUUUGCAGAACGAGCCAACGAGUCCGAGUGCAUAGCUUGUCUAAGUCCUAUGGGACGGAGGCGAAGCGAAAGCGAGUGUUAAAAGCGCGUCGACAUUUAUUCGUCGUGCUGUGCGCUCGGGACCCGAAGCUAGAGCGAGCUUACCAUGAGCAGGGUGAACCCCGCGUAAAAGUGGGGGGAGGCCCGCACCCGUUGGUCGUACAACGCCAUGGGAUGACUUGUGGUAAGAAGUGAAAAGCUAAUCGAGCCUGGUAAUAGCUGGUUCUCCCCGAAAUAGCUUUAGGGCUAGCCUCGAUUGAUUGGCCGCGGAGGUAGAGCACUGAAUGGAUGCGGAUGGUUUUUCCUACCGUAUCCAAACAAACUCCGAAUGCCGCGGUUUUCAAAUCGGGAGUUAGACUACGGGGGCUAAGCUCCGUGGUCAAAAGGGAAACAGCCCAGAUCAUCAUCUAAGGUCCCUAAAUCGAACUAAGUGUGAAAGGAAGUGUCCUGACUUUGACAGGUAGGAGGUUGGCUUAGAAGCAGCCACCCUUUAAAGAGUGCGUAACAGCUCACUAUUCUAUUAUGCCAGGGCGCGCCGAAGAUGUAUGGGACUAAGUUCGAUACCGAAGAUAUGGGUCUGCCGUAAGCAGACAUACACUAAUUUAACUAAUAUAUACACGAAAUAAACGGACAGAUUUUAGUUUUAUUCGUUGGUAUUGGUUUUUUUAGUGUAUGCCCGCUGAAAGCAGGCGGUAGGGGAGCAUUCCCGUUGCAGUGAAGGUUCGAUGUGAGUCGGGCUGGAGCGGCGGGAAGCGAGAAUGUUGGCAUGAGUAACCACAAUUCCGGUGAGAGACCGGAACACCGCAAGCCUAAGGUUUCCUUGGCAAUGCUAGUCAACCAAGGGUUAGUCGGAUCUAAGCGUGCUCCGCGCCUAGUUUGUUAGUUAUACCCUCAUAACGAGUGAGUGAAAUUAUGAUCAACUAAUGAACUGCGCGCGAAGCACGCGAUGUGCAGCAGGUUAAUAUUCCUGCGCUUCUUUAUUUUUUCGAUGAAGUGACGGAGUUUAGUAGUCCGAGUGGUUUAUUGGAUUACCAUUCUUUGCCUAAGGAUGCUUAUCAGGUAAAUCCGGUAAGCGUUAAAUCCAAGGGUUGAGAAAAGGUUGGUUUCGACCAACCGAUUCGGAUGAGCAAGCUUCCGAGAAAAGCUUCUAGAGUUAAGGAUAAGGAACCCGUACCGAAAACCGACACAGGUGGGCGAGGCGAGUAGCCUAAGGUGAACGGGUGAUUCCUCGUUAAGGAACUCGGCAAAAUAGCGUUCGUAAGUUAGCGAUAAGGACUCCCCGCAGCAAUGCGGGGCGCAGCGAAAGACCCCUAGCGACUGUUUAUCAAAAACACAGCUCCCUGCUUAACUCGCAAGAGGAUGUAUAGGGGGUGACGCCUGACCAGUGCUGGAAUGUUAAUGAUGCCGGUUGCUGUUUGCUUUCGGGUGGAUGGCGGCUGAGUGUCUGAAGCACCAGUAAACGUCCGCGGUAACUAUAACCGUGUUAAUGUAGCGAAAUUCCUUGUCUGGUAAGUUCAGACCCGCAUGAAAGGCGUAACGACUGGGGGACUGUCUCAACGAGGAGCCCGGUGAAAAUGCAAUGUCGGUAAAGAUGCCGACUACCUGCGGCUAGACGAAAAGACCCCGGGAGCUUUACUAUAGAGUGGUAUUGAAUUAUGGGUUUAGAUGCGUAGCGUAGCCGGGAGGCUUUGAAGCCCCAUUUUCGGAUGGGGUGGAGCCGCCAAUGAAACACCGGCCUUCUGGGUCUAUAAUUCUAACUCCCCGCGUAAAAGCGGGGGAGACAGUGCCACUUGGGUAGUUUAAGUGGGGCGCUUGCCUCCUAAAGAGUAGCGGAGGCGCUUAUAAGGUUGGCUAGGGCCGGAUGGAAACCGGUCUGAUAGCGUAAAGGCAUAAGCCAGCUUUACUGCAAGACGUACAUGUCGCGCUCAUAAAUUUUAAUUUAUGACGGCGUAUUUUUUAAUUAAGAUGCGUUGAGUUGCGAAAGCAGAACUUAGUGAACCGACCGCUCUUCGUAGAAAGGCGGAAGAUCAUCAGACAAAAGCUACCCCGGGGAUAACAGGCUGGUCGUGCCCAAGAGUCCAUAUCGACGGCACGGUUCGGCACCUCGAUGUCGGCUCAUCACAUCCUGGAGGGGGAGCACCUUCCAAGGGUAUGGCUGUUCGCCAUUUAAAGUGGUACGUGAGCUGGGUUCAAACCGUCAACCAAAACUUGUUGCUGUUAAACAAGUUUGGCGGCUCCCGAUAGCAAUAUCGGGAUGCAAAAACUGACUCAUAUCGGUGAAAUCCUAGUAGACAUUCAACCUGUCGUAUGCUAGGAUAAUACCGAGGGAAGUUUUAAAUUAUUUUGCGAUGAAAAAGUUGUCUAGUGCUAGAUUAUCUUAUAUAGCCGGAUUCCUUGAUGGAGACGGAAGUGUGUAUAUCAAGCUGACAAAAAAUAAAACUUAUCGGUUUAAAUAUCAGGUAAGUUCUUAUAUUGUUUUUUAUCAAAGUAGUAUUAAUAUACAAUUUCUUCAAAAUCUUCAAAAAGAAUUAAGUAUUGGCUAUGUAAGAAAAAGAAAUGAUGGAGUUUCGGAGUUUAUUAUAGGCGACGAGAAAUCUCAAUUAGAAUUAAUUGAGAAAAUAUUGCCCUACACGAAACUUAAACUGGAGCAGCUUCAAUUGAUGAAGAAAAUAUUGCGUAAAAAGAAAUUUGUGAAAUGCGCAGAUGGCUUUCUGAAGCUUUGUGGACUAAUUGAUGGAUAUAAAAAUCUCAAUUAUUCUAAAAAGCGAUCUCAAAAUAGUAUUGAGGUUAGAAAAGUAUUGGUGCAAAAUAAUUUAAUAACCCCGUAGAGACUGUGGAAAUAUUACUAGUAUUUCCCGAUUCAAUCGUAAAUGGUUGGAUAAAACGUCAGUACUCCAAUUGAAUUGGAGUGUGGUAUAGUCCAUGCCAUUGGCAACAAUGGAAAAUUACGAGAAUUUCGUAAAUACAUGCGUGAGACAGGUUGGUCUCCUAUCUGCCGCAGGCGUUAGAAGUUUGAGGGAAGUCUUUCCUAGUACGAGAGGACCGGAAAGAACGAACCUCUGGUCUACCAGUUGUCCUGCCAAGGGCAUUGCUGGGUAGCUAAGUUCGGACGGGAUAAGCGCUGAAAGCAUAUAAGCGCGAAGCCUCUCCCGAGAUUAGACUUCAUAGAUUCCUUGUAGAUGACAAGGUUGAUAGGCCAUAGGUGGAAGCGCAGCAAUGCGUGAAGCCGAGUGGUACUAAUAAAUCAUUUUUGGU
rnacentral:rRNA from 1 species